UUUUGCCAGUUUUCUCGCCCUCGCCUUGGAUCUCAUCUUGUCGGCUUGUAGAUUCCUCUCGUCGUCCUCCGUGAGCCCAGAAGCAGCAACAACACUAUCUUCAUCUCACCAGCAUUCUCCUGCCAGCACCUCCUUGCAUUUUACCCCCUUAACAGCGAGAACUUGGUUUUCUCCAACCGGCGGUGGACACAGUGAAGUAUGGUGAGGUCAAGGUCGUGUUAUUCUGGGAAUUAACCUGAAGUUGUGUUAAAUGAUUUGGAUUAUGAGGAUAUUCUUUAUACAUUAAAUCAUUCAUUAUUAUUAUUAUUAAUAUUAAUAAUAACAAUAAUAAUAAUUAGUAUUAGUAUUUCUAAUAAUUAUUAUUAUUUCACAAUAAUAACAUUAUUUUUAUUGUCAUAAAUUGAUAUCUGAAUAAUUGCCAUUCUGAGUUCUAACAGAAACCUUUUCUUUAGGUGGCAGCUGAUAAAGUGCUCGACGUUAUUUUGCACAUGCAGGAGUAAGAGGUGCAAGACCCGAUUGGAGUUGCACUUUACGGACUGUGACAUGAUUGUGUGUAUGCGUGUGCACGCGCGCGCGCGCGACCACUUUUGUGCACACGUGUGUGUGUGUGUGUGUGUCUGUGUGUAAACCUUGUUGCCCUUAGGACAAGCUGCGGACAGCAGCCGUUUGACGCUUCUAUGGAGGCUCCACCAGAAGAGUCCGCAUACCGGCCAGAAUCCGAUUGGCUUUUUUCUUCACCCCUUUCUUUUCCUUUCAUGUUCAAGUUUGUAUUUGCAGGAGAUAUUUCUCGGAGAAGUGUUCGUGUUUGCAGUUGGCCCCAUGGUGCCGCAAAAAGUCAAAUGAACGAAGUUGGACACACUUUCCCUUCGUAAGUAUGACUUUCGCUUUGCACCUGUUUGUUUGUUUGUUUGUUCGUUUGUUUGUUCGAGGAGAAUGUCUUCAUGCUACACCAUCAGUCGGGUGAGGCCUUCAGGAGUGCAAGGUAAUUUAAUAUAUAUUUAUUAAUUAAAGAAAUUAGACAAAUAUUGAAUAACUACAUAAUUAUGCUGUAGUAAUUUUACUUAUUUUUGUAAUAUCGAAAUUGUAAUUUUAUUAGGCAAAAUAAAUCUAAUUUUGAAAUUGUAGGUCAUAAUUUAAAUGCUAAUAAUAAUUAGUACAAUAAUAAUAAUUGCUGUUGCUUUAAUAAUUAUAUUUAGAGUAAUCAUAUUAUUAUAAUUGUUUCAUAUAAUACUGUAUACUAUGUAUUAAUAAAUUGUAUAUUUUGUAUCCAAAAAGUAUGGAAUUUUAACUUCGAAAAAUAAACAAAAGGAUACUUUGUAGAAGCUGUGGUAUUACAAUAGGUAUUUUAUUAUACAAUAAAGUCCAGUUUGACUGAUGGUGGUAGGCAGGUCGUCAUAUCCGUGCGGUGCCUGGACCCACAUGUCAUAUGGGAAUGGUUUCCGUCUAGUUUGGCACAAUAAAGGCGGCUCUAUGUUGGAGCCCAUUAAAGGCCGGUGGUGAUGGAGCAACUGCAGUCUGCUGGGAGAGCGGUAGGGAUCAAUUCUGUGCACACUAAUCCCACCACACUUUUAUUGGAUAGGUACUUGCAUACCCAAUCAUAAAUAUUAUUUGCAUCAUUUUUUAUUUGCAUUCAUUUUUGUAACCAUAUGUUGAGCUUUUGCUGAACAUUACGUUGGCAUUAAACCAUUACAAAUAUAUCGCGGUCUGCCUGAUAUUUCUUUGUUUUUCUUGCCUCGCGGUUGAACUGCAGCUUGUUGCUCAUUGUCAUGCACGUGAAACAACAAUUGAUUUGAAUAAAGGCUCGAGUUAAUCAAA